rnacentral:rRNA from 1 species
CCUACGGGAGGCUGCAGUGGGGGAUAUUGCACAAUGGGGGAAACCCUGAUGCAGCGACGCCGCGUGUGGGAAGACGGUCCUCUGGAUUGUAAACCACUGUCCCCAGGGACGAAGAUGACGGUACCUGGGGAGGAAGCUCCGGCUAACUACGUGCCAGCAGCCGCGGGAAUACGUAGGGAGUGAGCGUUGUCCGGAAUUACUGGGUGUAAAGGGAGCGUAGGCGGGACUGCAAGUUGGGUGUCAAAUCUACCGGCUCAACCGGUAGCCGCACUCAAGACUGCAGUUCUUGAGUGAAGUAGAGGCAGGCGGAAUUCCUAGUGUAGCGGUGAAAUGCGUAGAUAUUAGGAGGAACACCAGUGGCGAAGGCGGCCUGCUGGGCUUUUACUGACGCUGAGGCUCGAAAGUGUGGGGAGCAAACAGGAUUAGAUACCCUAGUAGUC